AGUGAACGCUGGCGGUAGGCCUAACACAUGCAAGUCGAACGGCAGCACAGUAAGAGCUUGCUCUUACGGGUGGCGAGUGGCGGACGGGUGAGGAAUACAUCGGAAUCUACUUUUUCGUGGGGGAUAACGUAGGGAAACUUACGCUAAUACCGCAUACGACCUACGGGUGAAAGCAGGGGAUCUUCGGACCUUGCGCGAUUGAAUGAGCCGAUGUCGGAUUAGCUAGUUGGCGGGGUAAGGGCCCACCAAGGCGACGAUCCGUAGCUGGUCUGAGAGGAUGAUCGGCCACACUGGAACGGAGACACGGUCCAGACUCCUACGGGAGGCAGCAGUGGGGAAUAUUGGACAAAGGGCGCAAGCCUGAUCCAGCCAUACCGCGUGGGUGAAGAAGGCCUUCGGGUUGUAAAGCCCUUUUGUUGGGAAAGAAAAGCAGCAGGUUAAUACCCCGCUGUUCUGACGGUACCCAAAGAAUAAGCACCGGCUAACUUCGUG
rnacentral:rRNA from 1 species